rnacentral:rRNA from 1 species
UACAGAGGUCCCAAGCGUUGUUCGGAUUCAUUGGGCGUAAAGGGUGUGUAGGUGGCGCCGUAAGUCGGGUGUGAAAUUUCGGAGCUUAACUCCGAAACUGCAUUCGAUACUGCGGUGCUUGAGGACUGGAGAGGAGACUGGAAUUCAUGGUGUAGCAGUGAAAUGCGUAGAGAUCAUGAGGAAGACCAGUGGCGAAGGCGGGUCUCUGGACAGUUCCUGACACUGAGGCACGAAAGCCAGGGGAGCAAACGGG